ensembl:lncRNA
CUUCUGCUGACCACGGCAUUACCCGCUGCUUGUUGAGAAGACUAAGUCCCCUCCAGCACCAUGAUUAAGAGGGGAUGACUACUCCACUCCACUAUCAUUGUCAACUCUCGCCUGACAUUAACUGAAGCCACGUCUCACGUGCCACUCAUCCACCGGCACAUUGAAUGUUUCCCCUCCAAGCACUUCAAAUCCUGUCCUGCACUGAAGUCAAGACUCUGAACACCUCAACUCAUGCAUCAUACUCUCAUUCAAUCACAAUCCCUUCCCAACACUGUAUGCUGAACUGAGUCAGACCUGCAUGGGACGCCAGGCGAUAAUGAGCCGUGAGGACUUUGGACACUGGAGCGCUCUGAUCCCACAUCAGCCUUUGGAGUGACUCAAGAGGGCCUGACCACAUUCUCACCAUAUCAGAGGAAGACUCAGAACACUGAGCGAGCCACCUGGACCCUUCCUCCAUUACCAUAUAAAUGAGGUGCUUCACGCUAACCUCUGUUCUCUCUGCUUCCUGCUCCUCGCACAAAAAAUGACAGUGGCCGAGAACCGGAGACCGAGAGCGACAGAGAGAGAGAGAGAGAGAGAGAGAGUGCUAGGGUAUAUCAAUUCAAUUACAUUCUGGAGGGGUUUUCAUGUUGAUGGAAAGAGAAAUGCUUUGGCUGCCACAAUUUAGCCCUCUGAGGAAACAACCAUGCACCAGCUCUCUGCUAAGAUAAAAGCCCUGAGGAAACAACCAUGCACCAGCUCUCUGCUAAGGUAAAAGCCCUGAGGAAACAACCAUGCACCAGCUCUCUGCUAAGAUAAAAGCCCAGAGGAAACAACCAUGCUACAGUUAUUCCAACUGAGCCUAAAGGGAAAUAGAUAGCUUUUAAUGAGUCUUGCUGAACCAUCGCCUUUGGGAGACCUACUGCUAUGGUCAAAUUUGUGUGUAGGGUGUCUACUAAGUUACAUCCUCAUGCAGCAACACAGAUAUACAGUACCUAUGUUUAUUCCUGAUAAACCCAAACUCUAGAGUAUAGCUGUGUCUUUGACACUUUUAUUUGAAUGUUCAAUUUGUCCUCAUGUCUAUACACAAGGUUGUCCUAAACAACAGUUGAAAUUUGACUUUACUGUAAUGACAAUUUACAUUGUAUGACAUUGUUACGGCAACGUUUGUCACAUCUCCCCCAUGAACCUGCUAGAUGCUUUGGAACCGUGUCUAAACUCUAUAGAAAUGGUCUGGCUGUACCAUAGCACUUCAUUAAACUCUCCAC